UCUCCGUAGGUGAACCUGCGGAGGGAUCAUUACAGAGUUCAUGCCCUACCGGGUAGAUCUCCCACCCUAUGUUAUUAUUACUUUGUUGCUUUGGCGGGGCGUUAGGCUCCGGCCCGACUACCGGCCCCGGCUGGUAAGCGCCCGCCAGAGGACCCAAAACCCUGAAUAUUAGUGUCGUCUGAGUACUCUAUAAUAGUUAAAACUUUCAACAACGGAUCUCUUGGUUCUG
rnacentral:misc_RNA from 1 species